rnacentral:rRNA from 1 species
CCCCGCUGAAUUUAAGCAUAUCAGUAAGCGGAGGAAAAGAAACUACCAGGAUUCUCCUAGUAACGGCGAGUGAACGGAGAUUAGCCCAUCACCGAAGUCUAUUCACAGUUGUGGACAGGACAAAUGGUGGUGUUAAGGUGCACGCCUGGGAGUCGCUGGCCUGUUCUAAGUCCAAACUCCGAUUGCGGCUUUGGAUGUGUCCAUAGCGGGUGAAAGACCCGUUCGAGCAGGCCUGUGUUUGUUUACGCGAUUCCUAGAUGCGUGUGCUAUCGAGUCGGAUUGCUUGAGAAUGCAGUCCAAAGUGGGUGGUAAACUCCAUCCAAGGCUAAAUACUGGCACGAGUCCGAUAGUAGACAAGUACCGUGAGGGAAAGUUGAAAAGUACUCUGAAGAGAGAGUAAAUAGUACGUGAAACCGGUUGCAGAGAAUCAGGUGGAGUCAAGCUUCAUGCUUGGUUGAUUGCCUUCCGAUCUGUUCGUGUCGGGACGUGAGGUGUGGCAACUUGGAAUAAGUUGGGCGUACUUGUGGGCUUCAAGUGGUUCUGGGUAGCUUGAUCGUCUUUCCUCUAUUUCCCCGAUCGGUUGGUGUAUUUUCCGCUGCAUAAGUCUCGGUUCAUAGUGCUUGUGGAUUGAGAUUGUCUAACAGUGUCCGUGCUGGCUUUUGUUGGCUGGGCGCUGAAGUGGAAGGUAACUCCCCUGGUUCGUCAAGAACCACUGCGUGUUUAUAGGGGUUUCGACCCGCUGGCGAUCAUGAACAUACAUCGGUGCUAUGAUUUUCUUUGGCCUGUCAUCCUACGUGGUGGCA